rnacentral:rRNA from 1 species
GGUGAGGCUGAUGUGUAGGCAAAUCCGCACAUCGAUAAGGCUGGGCUGUGAUGGGGAGCGAAAAUUGCAGUAGCGAAGGUCAUGAGUUCAGGCUGCCAAGAAAAGCCUCUAGCCAGGUGAAGGUGCCCGUACCGCAAACCGACACAGGUAGGCGAGCAGAGUAUGCUAAGGCGCUCGGAAGAACUCUCGUUAAGGAACUCGGCAAAAUGACCCCGUAACUUCGGGAGAAGGGGUGCCUCGGUAGGGUGAAUAGCCCGAGGGGGCCGCAGUGAAAAGGCCCAAGCGACUGUUUAGCAAAAACACAGGUCUGUGCGAAGCCGUAAGGCGAAGUAUACGGGCUGACGCCUGCCCGGUGCUGGAAGGUUAAGGGGAGUGGUUAGCCGCAAGGCGAAGCUAUGAACCGAAGCCCCAGUAAACGGCGGCCGUAACUAUAACGGUCUUAAGGUAGCGAAAUUUCUUGUCAGGUAAAUUCUGACCCGCACGAAUGGCGUAAUAACUUGGGCGCUGUCUCAACGAGAGAUCCGGUGAAAUUUUAAUACCUGUGAAGAUGCAGGUUACCCGCGACAAGACGGAAAGACCCCAUGGAGCUUUACUGCAGCUUGAUAUUGGACUUUGGUACGAUCUGUACAGGAUAGGUGGGAGCCUUGGAAACCGGAGCGCCAGCUUCGGCGGAGGCAUCGUUGGGAUACCACCCUGAUCGUAUCGGAGUUCUAACCUGGUACCGUGAUCCGGUACAGGGACCGUGUCAGGUGGGCAGUUUGACUGGGGCGGUCGCCUCCUAAAAUGUAACGGAGGCGCCCAAAGGUUCCCUCAGAAUGGUUGGAAAUCAUUCGUAGCGUGCAAAGGCAUAAGGGAGCUUGACUGCGAGACCUACAAGUCGAGCAGGGACGAAAGUCGGGCUUAGUGAUCCGGUGGUACCGCAUGGAAGGGCCAUCGCUCAACGGAUAAAAGCUACCCUGGGGAUAACAGGCUUAUCUCCCCCAAGAGUCCACAUCGACGGGGAGGUUUGGCACCUCGAUGUCGGCUCAUCGCAUCCUGGGGCUGAAGUAGGUCCCAAGGGUUGGGCUGUUCGCCCAUUAAAGCGGUACGCGAGCUGGGUUCAGAACGUCGUGAGACAGUUCGGUCCCUAUCUGUCGUGGGCGUAGGAAAUUUGAGAGGAGCUGUCCUUAGUACGAGAGGACCGGGAUGGACGCACCGCUGGUGUACCAGUUGUUCCGCCAGGAGCAUAGCUGGGUAGCUACGUGCGGACGGGAUAAGCGCUGAAAGCAUCUAAGCGUGAAGCCCCCCUCAAGAUGAGAUUUCCCAGUAUGUAAGACCCCUGGAAGACGACCAGGUUGAUAGGUUCGAGGUGGAAGCGCAGCAAUGCGUGGAGCUGACGAAUACUAAUCGGUCGAGGGCUUAUUCAA